GGGUAGUUUGACUGGGGCGGUCUCCUCCCAAAGAGUAACGGAGGAGCACGAAGGUUGGCUAAUCCUGGUCGGACAUCAGGAGGUUAGUGCAAUGGCAUAAGCCAGCUUAACUGCGAGACGGACAGGUCGAGCAGGUACGAAAGUAGGUCAUAGUGAUCCGGUGGUUCUGAAUGGAAGGGCCAUCGCUCAACGGAUAAAAGGUACUCCGGGGAUAACAGGCUGAUACCGCCCAAGAGUUCAUAUCGACGGCGGUGUUUGGCACCUCGAUGUCGGCUCAUCACAUCCUGGGGCUGAAGUCGGUCCCAAGGGUAUGGCUGUUCGCCAUUUAAAGUGGUACGCGAGCUGGGUUCAGAACGUCGUGAGACAGUUCGGUCCCUAUCUGCCGUGGGCGUUGGAUGAUUGAAGGGAGUUGCUCCUAGUACGAGAGGACCGGAGUGAACGAACCUCUGGUGUUCGGGUUGUCACGCCAGUGGCACUGCCCGGUAGCUAAGUUCGGAAUCGAUAACCGCUGAAAGCAUCUAAGCGGGAAGCGAGCCCUGAGAUGAGUCAUCCCUGACCCCUUGAGGGUCCUAAAGGGCCGUUGGAGACCACAACGUUGAUAGGUGGGGUGUGUAAGCGCGGCGACGUGUUGAGCUAACCCAUACUAAUUACCCGUGAGGCUUAACC
rnacentral:rRNA from 1 species